AAGACGUGCGCAGGCGGUUAUGUAAGACAGAUGUGAAAUCCCCGGGCUCAACCUGGGAACUGCAUUUGUGACUGCAUGGCUAGAGUACGGUAGAGGGGGAUGGAAUUCCGCGUGUAGCAGUGAAAUGCGUAGAUAUGCGGAGGAACACCGAUGGCGAAGGCAAUCCCCUGGACCUGUACUGACGCUCAUGCACGAAAGCGUGGGGAGCAAACAGGAUUAGAUACCCUAGU
rnacentral:rRNA from 1 species